ensembl:lncRNA novel transcript
CUGACGCUCUCAGAGUCUGGCCUUCUGCUGGGCCCCGGGUCUCUCACUGGCAGAAUGGAGUUCUCGGAGCUGAUCCAUACGGGCUGAGCCCAAGCAGAGUUUCUACGGGGCCCGGAGGCGCCCCCGCUUCGCGGCACGGUGUGAGUCACCGUCCACCACCUGCUCCUGUCGCCAGGGCCCGCGUCCUCUCCGGACCUGUGGCUGCUGCUGUUGCGUAGCGUCGACUCCUUCGAGAAGCAGAACGUCCCUCCCCAGGGUUGCGAGUGACUCGGGCACCAUCACCCUGUGCUGUAAAGACCUGCGAGUGCUGCAGCUGGAAAUAGAGGGCGCGGAAGCGACGCUGGGCAUCGCCCGCUCCAUCGAGACCAACGCGUGGCGGCUGAGCGAGGUGAACGAGGACUUCAGCUUGUGCCCCAGAUACCCCCGUGCGGUGAUCGUGCCAUACUUGGUGGACGAUGAUGCCCUGGCGCGCAGCGCCCGCUUCCGUCAGGGAGGUCGCUUCCCGGUGCUCAGCUACCACCCGGCUCCCAGCGGCAGAGGGAGCGCGCCCUCCCCACGCUCCGCCCCUGGGUGGCUGCGUCCUUUCUGGGCCUUUUCUUUUUGGCCCGGUCAAUUCGCGGCGUAGCCGCUGCCCCAACUCCUGCCCCAUUCUGGUCCCGCCCCUCUCCCGCCUUUUCGCUGGGAAGGGUAUCACCUUUCUCUGGCCCCGCCCCUGACGGUUCCGGGCCCCGCGAAGCUUAGUCCCUUCUUUGUCAAGCCAGGACCCGCCCACGGUCUAUUCAUAGGGUCCCAAACCACUUUGGCCACAACACCCCCAGACUGGUCCGAAGCCUCGUGAGUUCGCCCUGGUCGUUGCACUCCAGCCUGUCGCUGUGCAGACCUGGCUUAGAGGACCCCUAAGGCUGAGGGGUCACUUCCAGAACUGAGUCCGGUCCGCAGGUUCUGCUACGCUCCAGCCAGCCCCUAACUGGUCCCCAGAAGCGGCGCUGCUACAGGGACCAGGAGCUGCUGCGAACUGCGCUGGCGGGGGCUCGUCCUUGGGCGCGGGGCUUCAUCAUGGACACGCUCUCGGCCCAGGCCGCGAAACAAGCCCGCGUGACUGGCGGAGGCACAGAGACCAAGGCCGCUUAACCUGGCUGGUUGCACUGGUCCCUGGAGAGCACUGAGCACAGGGGCUGCCACAGUGGCCGGCUCAGACAUGGCAGAGAUCAGCAGAGAAUGGGCAAUCAGGCUCCCCUGAGAUGAGCAGCAGCGCAGAGGAGGUGCCCCUCUCUUACUACACCAACUUCAGAGGGCGUCCCCUGCAGGAGAGCUUCAUGCGCCUGGUGGAGGCCUGUGGGGACUCGGAGCAAAGCAUGGACAACUGGCUGAGUCGGCUGGACGGCUGCCGCUGACUGUAACAUGUAAAGCAGGCACUGAGCACCACCUGCCUGGCAGUCCAGGGCAUGGAGAGGCACAGACAGCACCCUGCUUGUGACUUCACUGGCCCAACUCAUCCUGGACCCCUUGAGCAAGACCAUGGCUGGAUUCCAGGAACUGGUGGAGUGGAAGUGGAUCCAGGAAAAUGCCGUGUGAAGGGAGGACUCAGAUGCACUCCCUGUGGUCUGGGCUCAACCAGCCAAAAGAGCAACAAAGACUCCAGAACCCACUCUACCUCCUCAAUCCCUUGGCCAUCUGUGGAGCCCCAGAGCCUGCGGCUGUGGCAAGGCCUGUUUCUGCGCUGGACCUGCUCACCUGAGCCUGCAGAAGCUGCAUGGGGGAAGAGUGUGGCAAAUAGUGACAGGAAGGGAGAAGACAGAAGCCUCUCAGCCAACUGCUUCAGCCGAGCCCCUAUUCUAAGCACUGGCUCCUUGGAUAGCAGCUGAGAUGUUCCUGAAACCUCUGCAGGCCCCUUAGGACCUUUACACCUUGGAUGAGGGUGCCUGCAACCCAGGUUAGCCAAAAGUACUGAGGGUCUUAAGUUUGAAGUGUCCAAAGUAUAGGGAGGUCUCAAUAAUAAAAGUCUCCAUGAUCAGCA